rnacentral:rRNA from 1 species
UUUGCUGACGAGUGGCGGACGGGUGAGUAAUGUCUGGGAAACUGCCUGAUGGAGGGGGAUAACUACUGGAAACGGUAGCUAAUACCGCAUAACGUCGCAAGACCAAAGAGGGGGACCUUCGGGCCUCUUGCCAUCGGAUGUGCCCAGAUGGGAUUAGCUAGUAGGUGGGGUAACGGCUCACCUAGGCGACGAUCCCUAGCUGGUCUGAGAGGAUGACCAGCCACACUGGAACUGAGACACGGUCCAGACUCCUACGGGAGGCAGCAGUGGGGAAUAUUGCACAAUGGGCGCAAGCCUGAUGCAGCCAUGCCGCGUGUAUGAAGAAGGCCUUCGGGUUGUAAAGUACUUUCAGCGGGGAGGAA